rfam:Vigna angularis cultivar Jingnong 6 chromosome 8, whole genome shotgun sequence.
AAUGAUCAUAUUAGGCUGAUCCUUUUGUUGACAAAUGCCCAUAUUAUACCUAUAAUGGAAGGAUGAGAAGCCAUUAGUGAGAUACCACUUUGGGAAUAGUUAGAAUUCUAACCUUGUGUCAAGACUUAUAGGUUGGGGACACUCUCAUGCUGUCAAUUUGCAUGGGGUGUAGAUCUCCCUAAAAAUAAUAGAGGCAUGCAAAUGUUUCCUUAUAAGGCAGAAAAGAGUUUAACUACAAGACCCACUCGUCGAGUAGGGACAGAAGUCAACCUUAUUGAUCUGACGAUGUAGAAUGAAAGGGGUCAUCGCUCAACGGAUAAAAGUUAUCCUGGGGAUAUUGGGUUAACCUUCCACUAAUAACUCACAUUGACAAUAAGGUUUGAUACCUUAAUCUUGGCUCUUUUCCACCUGAGGUUGUAGUAUAUUGCAGAGGUUGGGUUGUUUUCCUAUUAAAGUGGUACGUGAGUUGGGUUUAGAAUAUUGUGAGACAAUUCGAUC